AUCGAAGCAGCUAAAACAACGUUCGACUUUGCAGCUCAACUUGGGCUACCUAAAAUGCAUAUCUUAGACAUCGGUGGAGGCUUCACAUCAGGUCCAAAGUUUACCGAUGCAGCCUCCGCCGUGAAAGUUGCUUUACAAAAAUAUUUCCCUGGUGAGCUAGCUGAUAGUAGCUUAAAAAUCAUUGCGGAACCUGGUUACUUCUUUUCUAAUUCGCCAUUUACAUUAGCGACAAGCAUAGUAGGGAAACGAGAAAGGGGAGACGUUAAAGAGUACUGGAUUAACGACGGAGUUUGGGGGUCUAUGAACAUUUUGAAGGACGAGCAUGACGAAGUGAUUUGCA
rnacentral:lncRNA from 1 species